UAGGAUACAAAACGAAGGCGAUCUUUGGAACAGUAUGACGUGAGAUGCGAAAGCGUGGGGAGCAACAGGAUUAGAUACCUGGUAGUCACGCAGUAAACGAUGAAUGUUAGUCGUUGGGGGCCUAGUGUCUUCAGUGAUGCUGUUAACACAUUAACAUUCCGCCUGGGGAGUACGGUCGCAAGAUUAAAACUCAAAGGAAUAGACGGGGACCCGCACAAGUGGUGGAGCAUGUGGUUUAAUUCGAAGAUACGCGAAGAACCUUACCUAGCCUUGACAUAUAAUGGAAUUCACCAGAGAUGGAGAAGUGCCUUCGGGAGCCAUAAUACAGGUGCUGCACGGCUGUCGUCAGCUCGUGUCGUGAGAUGUUGGGUUAAGUCCCGCAACGAGCGCAACCCUCGUUCUUAGUUACUAACGGUUAGGCCGAGGACUCUAAGAAGACUGCCUUCGUAAGGAGGAGGAGGGUGAGGACGGCGUCAAGUCAUCAUGGCCCUUACGGCUAGGGCAACACACGUGCUACAAUGGUUAGGACAAUGAGAAGCAAUAUCGCGAGGUGGAGCAAAUCUAUAAACCUAAUCUCAGUUCGGAUUGUAGUCUGCAACUCGACUACAUGAAGCUGGAACCACUAGUAAUCGUAGAUCAGCUAUGCCACGGUGAAUACGUUCCCGGGUCUUGUACUCACCGCCCGUCACACCAUGGGAGUUGAUUUCACCCGAAGCGGGGAAGCUAAACUGGCUACCCUCCACGGUGGAAUUAGCGACUGGGGUGAAGUCGUAACAAGGUACC
rnacentral:rRNA from 1 species